rnacentral:rRNA from 1 species
CGUGUAGGGGGCUUUUUAAGUCUGGAGUGAAAGUCCUGCUUUCAAGGUGGGAAUUGCAUUCGAUACUGGGAAGCUAGAGUAUGGGAGAGGAUGGUAGAAUUCCAGGUGUAGCGGUGAAAUGCGUAGAGAUCUGGAGGAAUACCGAUGGCGAAGGCAGCCAUCUGGCCUAAUACUGACGCUGAGGUACGAAAGCAUGGGGAGCAAACAGGAUUAGAUACCCCUGUA